AGAGUUUGAUCCUGGCUCAGAUUGAACGCUGGCGGAAUGCUUUACACAUGCAAGUCGAGCGGCAGCGCGGGGGCAACCCUGGCGGCGAGCGGCGAACGGGUGAGUAAUGUAUCGGAACGUACCCAGUCGUGGGGGAUAACUAUCCGAAAGGAUAGCUAAUACCGCAUACGUCCUGAGGGAGAAAGCGGGGGACCGUAAGGCCUCGCGCGAUUGGAGCGGCCGAUAUCGGAUUAGCUAGUUGGUGAGGUAAAGGCUCACCAAGGCGACGAUCCGUAGCUGGUCUGAGAGGACGACCAGCCACACUGGAACUGAGACACGGUCCAGACUCCUACGGGAGGCAGCAGUGGGGAAUUUUGGACAAUGGGGGCAACCCUGAUCCAGCCAUUCCGCGUGAGUGAAGAAGGCCUUCGGG
rnacentral:rRNA from 1 species